GGGAGCAAUCCCUGAGUAGAGUGGCAAACGGGUGAGUAACACGUGGGUGACCUGCCUUCGAGUGGGGGAUAACGUCCCGAAAGGGACGCUAAUACCGCAUGACAUCCUGUCCUUAGACGGACGGAGAUCAAAGCUGGGGAUCGCAAGACCUAGCACUUGAAGAGGGGCCCGCGUCUGAUUAGCUAGUUGGUGGGGUAACGGCUCACCAAGGCAACGAUCAGUAUCCGGCCUGAGAGGGCGGACGGACACACUGGGACUGAGACACGGCCCAGACUCCUACGGGAGGCAGCAGUGGGGAAUUGUUCGCAAUGGGCGCAAGCCUGACGACGCAACGCCGCGUGGAGGAUGAAGACCUUCGGG
rnacentral:rRNA from 1 species